GGGGGCGUAGCUCAGAUGGUAGAGCGCUCGCUUAGCAUGCGAGAGGUACUGGGAUCGAUGCCCAGCGCCUCCA
rfam:Bombyx mori DNA, contig: Bm_scaf14_contig11210, strain: p50T/Dazao, build 2, whole genome shotgun sequence.